UUCUAAGGGCGGUGAAGUCAGACCGGAAGGACUGGUGGAGCGCUUAGAAGUGAGAAUGCCGGUAUGAGUAGCGAAAGAAGGGUGAGAAUCCCUUCCACCGAAUAUCUAAGGUUUCCUGAGGAAGGCUCGUCCGCUCAGGGUUAGUCGGGACCUAAGCCGAGGCCGAUAGGCGUAGGCGAUGGACAACAGGUAGAGAUUCCUGUACCAGUGCUAAUUGUUUAACCGAUGGGGUGACACAGAAGGAUAGGGAAUCGCACGAAUGGAAAUGUGCGUCCAAGCAGUGAGUGUGAGAAGUAGGCAAAUCCGCUUCUCGCGAAGCAUGAGCUGUGAUGGGGAAGGAAAUUAAGUACGGAAGUUCCUGAUUUCACGCUGUCAAGAAAAGCCUCUAGGAAGAGUAGUACUGCCCGUACCGCAAACCGACACAGGUAGAUGAGGAGAGAAUCCUAAGGUGAGCGAGAGAACUCUCGUUAAGGAACUCGGCAAAAUGACCCCGUAACUUCGGGAGAAGGGGUGCUCUAUUAGGGUGCAAGCCCGAGAGAGCCGCAGUGAAUAGGCCCAGGCGACUGUUUAGCAAAAACACAGGUCUCUGCAAAACCGUAAGGUGACGUAUAGGGGCUGACGCCUGCCCGGUGCUGGAAGGUUAAGAGGAGUGCUUAGCUUCGGCGAAGGUACGAAUUGAAGCCCCAGUAAACGGCGGCCGUAACUAUAACGGUCCUAAGGUAGCGAAAUUCCUUGUCGGGUAAGUUCCGACCCGCACGAAAGGCGCAACGAUCUGGGCACUGUCUCAACGAGAGACUCGGUGAAAUUAUAGUACCUGUGAAGAUGCAGGUUACCCGCGACAGGACGGAAAGACCCCGUGGAGCUUUACUGCAACCUGAUAUGGAAUGUUUGUACCGCUUGUACAGGAUAGGUAGGAGCCGAAGAGACGUGUGCGCUA
rnacentral:rRNA from 1 species